rnacentral:rRNA from 1 species
AGUGAACGCUGGCGGUAGGCCUAACACAUGCAAGUCGAACGGCAGCACAGUAAGAGCUUGCUCUUACGGGUGGCGAGUGGCGGACGGGUGAGGAAUACAUCGGAAUCUACUUUUUCGUGGGGGAUAACGUAGGGAAACUUACGCUAAUACCGCAUACGACCUACGGGUGAAAGCAGGGGAUCUUCGGACCUUGCGCGAUUGAAUGAGCCGAUGUCGGAUUAGCUAGUUGGCGGGGUAAAGGCCCACCAAGGCGACGAUCCGUAGCUGGUCUGAGAGGAUGAUCAGCCACACUGGAACGGAGACACGGUCAAGACUCCUGCGGGAGGCAGCAGUGGGGAAUAUUGGACAAUGGGCGCAAGCCUGAUCCAGCCAUACCGCGUGGGUGAAGAAGGCCUUCGGGUUGUAAAGCCCUUUUGUUGGGAAAGAAAAGCAGCAGGUUAAUACCCCGCUGUUCUGACGGUACCCAAAGAAUAAGCACCGGCUAACUUCGUG